rnacentral:misc_RNA from 1 species
AACCUAGCACACCUGCGGUGUGUACCUGCGGAGGGAUCAUUACCGAGUGUAGACCCCCCGUAAAAAAGGGGGCCAACCUCCCGUCCUUUUGCUUGGGGCAUCCCCACUAAAAUUAGGGGGGUUUGCUUUUUAAGAACCUUCUGCUUCGGUGGGGGUUACCCCCACCGGAAUACCCUCAAAAAUUCUUGUAUAAUCGUUCUGUCCGAGGGGUUUGAUAAAUAAAAGCGAAAAACUUUCAAC